rnacentral:rRNA from 1 species
GAUGAACGCUAGCGGGAGGCUUAAUACAUGCAAGUCGAACGGUAAGGUCUCUGCUUGCAGAGAUACACGAGUGGCGCACGGGUGAGUAACGCGUACACUACCUACCUUAGAGUGAGGGAUAGCCCUGGGAAACUGGGAUUAAUACCUCAUAGAAUUGAAACUUUAUUGAUUCAAUUAAAGCUCCGGUGCUCUAAGAUGGGUGUGCGUCCUAUUAGCUAGUUGGUACGGUAACGGCGUACCAAGGCGACGAUAGGUAGGGGGCGUGAGAGCGUGAUCCCCCACACGGGUACUGAGACACGGACCCGACUCCUACGGGAGGCAGCAGUAAGGAAUAUUGGACAAUGGGCGAAAGCCUGAUCCAGCCAUCCCGCGUGCAGGAAGACGGCCCUAUGGGUUGUAAACUGCUUUUAUUAGGGAAGAAUAGCUUUGAUUUAUCAGAGUAUGACGGUACCUAAAGAAUAAGCACCGGCUAACUCCG